GUGCCAGCAGCCGCGGUAAUACGGAAGGUCCGGGCGUUAUCCGGAUUUAUUGGGUUUAAAGGGAGCGUAGGCGGGGCGUUAAGCGUGCUGUGAAAAGCCGCGGCUCAACCGUGGUCGUGCAGCGCGAACUGUCGCCCUUGAGUGCGCGGGAGGCACGCGGAAUUCGUGGUGUAGCGGUGAAAUGCUUAGAUAUCACGAGGAACGCCGAUUGCGAAGGCAGCGUGCCGUAGCGUUACUGACGCUGAAGCUCGAAGGUGCGGGUAUCGAACAGGAUUAGAUACCCUGGUAGUCCGCACGGUAAACGAUGGAUGCCCGCUGUCCGCCCCUUGCGGCGGGUGGCCAAGCGAAAGCGUUAAGCAUCCCACCUGGGGAGUACGCCGGCAACGGUGAAACUCAAAGGAAUUGACGGGGGCCCGCACAAGCGGAGGAACAUGUGGUUUAAUUCGAUGAUACGCGAGGAACCUUACCCGGGCUUGAACUGCAGAGGAAGCCGGCGGAGACGCCGGUGCCCUUCGGGGCCUCUGCGGAGGUGCUGCAUGGUUGUCGUCAGCUCGUGCCGUGAGGUGUCGGCUUAAGUGCCAUAACGAGCGCAACCCCUCUCCGUAGUUGCCAUCGGGUGAUGCCGGGCACUCUGCGGACACUGCCACCGCAAGGUGCGAGGAAGGUGGGGACGACGUCAAAUCAGCACGGCCCUUACGUCCGGGGCUACACACGUGUUACAAUGGGGCGCACAGAGCGCCGGCCGUGCGCAAGCCCGGCCCAAUCGCAAAACCGCCCCUCAGUUCGGACUGGGUCUGCAACCCGACCCCACGAAGCUGGAUUCGCUAGUAAUCGCGCAUCAGCCAUGGCGCGGUGAAUACGUUCCCGGGCCUUGUACACACCGCCCGU
rnacentral:rRNA from 1 species